AUGAAUGAUUCGUAUUUGCUAAACUGGAGAGGUGUAGGUUUGUCCAACAGUUAUCAGACUCCAUACUAUCGGACUCCGUCUUCUAACAAACAAAGGGUUGUAGAGGAGUCUGAGUCAGAGUUGGAAGACGAUCGACAAAGAUAUGCAGGACUAGAAGCAACAAAAUCAGGUGAAAAGCCUGAGGUGGUUGUUCUAGGUACCGGUUGGGCUGCUUGA